GAGUGAGGUCUAUUUUUUGCCAAAUUAUAAUAUAUCAUUCAAAUUUCUUGGCAUUGAAAAGCACUUAUUUGGAUUCCAGCUGAACCACCAUUCUACGAGGAGCUAAGUGAGGUCUAAUAUAUGUGGAUUAGGAAAGGUUUUAUCGAUUUCUUCGGUUCAAAAAGCACUUAUUUCAAUACCAGGACUUGGCUUUUUUCAAAUCUCGAGAAAAGUGCUGGUGAGAGAAAGAAGUAAACUCUCCAGAAUUUCGAAAUCAUAUGUCCUUCCUUUAUGAUGCUGAUGGUUUAGAUAUUAUGGGAAUGUUCAUGCAAGCAUGAAAGAAAAGUUGUACAGUGUAUAGAUGGCAUUGUUAAAUGGUUUGAUUUGUCACACCUGACUACAGAAACAAGGCUCAGCUACAUUUGAUACAUCACAGAUACAUGCAUUUCGUGGUUAUAGGGAGCCCUUUUCUUCAAAGCAAAAGAAGUGAGCUUAUUGGUGACAUCUGGCAGAAUACAGAAUGUAAACAAAAAAAAAACUAAUAAAUGUGAAUAAAUGCAGCGGC